GUCCACAAAAUGUAGUUUGGAUUUGGAUUGGAGAGAGCGAUAGUACAGGGAACCAUCAAUACAAAUAUGUACGGUAGGCCUACUAGUGAUCAACAUUAGCAGCAGCACAAAAGUAUAGCAAGCCAAUUUGCCUAAUAAGUAAAGUGCUCUGUGCAUUCCUAGAUCAUCUCGUCAACAACAUAUCAACAAUGUGCUGAAAAAAAAUACAAAAAACAUCACCAACAACAUAUUAACAUCAUUUACAUUUUGUAAUUUAGCAGACGAUCUUAUCGAGAGCUACAUACAGGAGCACUAAAGGUUAAGCGCCUUGAUCAAGGGCAAAUCAACAGGACCCUGUUUCAGAAAGGGGGUUUAGUGAAAAUUCAAGAGUUAGUUGACUCUGAGUUGAAGGAAACUCUGGGUUUUCGGUUUCACAAAGCCAGUUCAGUAACUAUGGCAACAUACUCCGUGAAGAAAACCUGCUCGCUAGUAGAUUUUCUUAAACUAACCCUGGCUGAGUUUCUCCUCCUCUUUAGCUGAAGCCUGCAGACUGAAGGAGGUGUCAGACAUGUCGUGUCUUUUUCUUGAAGAGCCAGUUGAUAUUGCACAAAAACUCAGCAAAAAUCUCCGUCGGGAGAAGGUGAUCAGACCCCGCUUGGGUGUUUUAGCAUUCCCUGAUUAUCUGUUUGAGCGUUUCCGUUUUUUCUGCACAAUCGAUCAUUCAUCUGAACAAUAUUCUCAUAUCGUUCAUAUGACACAUCGUGGACAUGUUCUCAGUUCAGAAGAAAUUCUUUGUGUUGCACUUCGUUUUUUGCCAAAGGGAGUUUUCUAUAUAACAUCAGUGACGCUGGGCAUAUUUCCAAGGCAACUGUCUGUCAGAAAUGUGACUCUUGCAGUGAAACGUUUACUGUACACUUUUGUGGUGUUUCCUAGUCACAGACCCAUCAAAGAAGAAUUCCACAUAAUUGUAGGUAUCAGUCUAAGCAAUAAUUUAUUUAGUAUGACGCUUUGAGACAAGAAGCGAAGCACUAAUCAGUUAAUUUGAUAUAUUUUAGGGUUUCCAGGUGUGAUUGGCUGCAUUGAUGGCACUCAUAUUCCUAUCACUGCUCCUUCAGUAAAUGAAGGAGAUUAUGUGAAUAGGAUGUCUUUCCACAGCAUUAAUGUGCAGGUAGGCCUAAAUAGUAGCCUUUAGCAUUCCAAAUGAAAGAUAGCUGCACUAGAUGUGUUGUGAAGUAAUUACUGUUCUGCAUGGGGAAGAUCAUAUGUGAUGCUGCCCACAUCAUCAGCAACGUGGAAGCAAAGUGGCCUGGGUCUGUGCAUGACUCGUGAAUUUUUCAUGAGUGUACACUGAGCGCUAGCUUUGCCCGUGGAGCGUUCGAUAGUUACCUGCUCGGUGACAGAGGGUACCCCUGCCAGCCCUAUUUGCUGACCCUGAGCCCGGCCCGCAGCAACGUUAUAACUUGGCUCACUGCAGGACACGAGCCAGGGUAGAGAUGACCAUUGGGAUGCUCAAGGCCCAGUUCCAGUGCCUUUGUAGGCUCAGGGUCACCCCAGAAAGGGCAUGUGACAUUAUUGUGGCAUGUGUGAUUCUCCACAACAUUGCCACAAUUAGAGAACAAUGUCCUACUCAACCAGUGAACGAUCCUGACCACCCCGCUGACCCAGGAGUUGGAAGAGCAGUCAAUGACACAAUAUGCUUCCAUCAUUUCUGAUUGACCCAUCACCUCCCCAGUGUCAAAUAAAGACAAUAUGCCUUUCUUUUUUA